UUACCAGUCAGGCUCUGGCCAUAUUCCAGGACAGAGUGGGUCCUGGGUAUGACUAAAGCCCGACUGAACA
rfam:Neotoma lepida isolate 417 scaffold_72886, whole genome shotgun sequence.